rnacentral:rRNA from 1 species
UUGACCUCAAAUCAGGUAGGACUACCCGCUGAACUUAAGCAUAUCAAUAAGCGGAGGAAAAGAAACUAACGAGGAUUCCCCUAGUAACUGCGAGUGAAGCGGGAAAAGCUCAAAUUUGAAAUCUGGCGGUUCUUUGACCGUCCGAGUUGUAAUCUAGAGAAGUGUUACCAGUGCUGGACCGUGUACAAGUCUUCUGGAAUGGAGYAUCACAGAGGGUGAGAAUCCCGUCUUUGACAUGGACUGCCAGUGCGACUUGAUGGUGCGCUCUCAAAGAGUCGAGUUGUUUGGGAAUGCAGCUCAAAAUGGGUGGUAAAUGCCAUCUAAAGCUAAAUAUUGGCGAGAGACCGAUAGCGAACAAGUACCGUGAGGGAAAGAUGAAAAGAACUUUGGAAAGAGAGUUAAACAGUACGUGAAAUUGCUGAAAGGGAAACGCUUGAAGUCAGUCGCGUCUGCUAGAAAUCAGCCAUUUGCUCUUGCUUGGUGUACUUUCUGGUUGGACGGGUCAGCAUCAAUUUUGACCGCUGGAUAAAGUCUUUUUGGGAAUGUGGCAUCCCUUUGGAUGUGUUAUAGCCCAUGGUCGCAUACAGYGGUUGGGAUUGAGGAACUCAGCACGCCGCAAGGCUCGGGUCAUUUUUUUGACCAYGUUUUUAAAGUGCUUAGGAUGCUGGCAUAAUGGCUUUAAUCGACCCGUC